AGAUUGAACGCUGGCGGCAGGCUUAACACAUGCAAGUCGAACGGAGAUAGUGUGCUUGCACAUUAUUUUAGUGGCGAACGGGUGAGUAAUGCCUAGGAAUCUGCCCAUUAGCGGGGGAUAACGUGUGGAAACGCACGCUAAUACCGCAUACGCCCUACGGGGGAAAGCAGGAGACUCUUUGGAGCCUUGCGCUAAUGGAUGAGCCUAGGUCGGAUUAGCUAGUUGGUGGGGUAAAGGCCUACCAAGGCGACGAUCUGUAGCGGGUCUGAGAGGAUGAUCCGCCACACUGGAACUGAGACACGGUCCAGACUCCUACGGGAGGCAGCAGUGGGGAAUAUUGGACAAUGGGGGCAACCCUGAUCCAGCCAUGCCGCGUGUGUGAAGAAGGCCUUUUGGUUGUAAAGCACUUUAAGCGAGGAGGAGGCUACCUGUAUUAAUACUAUAGGCUAGUGGACGUUACUCGCAGAAUAAGCACCGGCUAACUCUGUGCCAGCAGCCGCGGUAAUACAGAGGGUGCGAGCGUUAAUCGGAAUUACUGGGCGUAAAGCGCGCGUAGGCGGUUUGUUAAGUCGGAUGUGAAAUCCCCGGGCUCAACCUGGGAAUUGCAUUCGAUACUGGCAAGCUAGAGUAUGGGAGAGGAAGGUAGAAUUCCAGGUGUAGCGGUGAAAUGCGUAGAGAUCUGGAGGAAUACCGAUGGCGAAGGCAGCCUUCUGGCCUAAUACUGACGCUGAGGUGCGAAAGCAUGGGGAGCAAACAGGAUUAGAUACCCUGGUAGUCCAUGCCGUAAACGACGUCAACUAGCCGUUGGGGGAUUUGAUCCUUUAGUGGCGCAGCUAACGCGAUAAGUUGACCGCCUGGGGAGUACGGUCGCAAGACUAAAACUCAAAGGAAUUGACGGG
rnacentral:rRNA from 1 species